GACGAACGCUGGCGGCGUGCCUAAUACAUGCAAGUAGAACGCACAGUUUAUACCGUAGCUUGCUCCACCAUAAACUGUGAGUUGCGAACGGGUGAGUAACGCGUAGGUAACCUGCCUGGUAGCGGGGGAUAACUAUUGGAAACGAUAGCUAAUACCGCAUAAUAUUAAUUAUUGCAUGAUAAUUGAUUGAAAGAUGCAAUUGCAUCACUACCAGAUGGACCUGCGUUGUAUUAGCUAGUAGGUGAGGUAACGGCUCACCUAGGCGACGAUACAUAGCCGACCUGAGAGGGUGAUCGGCCACACUGGGACUGAGACACGGCCCAGACUCCUACGGGAGGCAGCAGUAGGGAAUCUUCGGCAAUGGACGAAAGUCUGACCGAGCAACGCCGCGUGAGUGAAGAAGGGUGUCGGAUCGUAAAGCUCUGUUGUAAGAGAAGAACGGGUGUGAGAGUGGAAAGUUCACACUGUGACGGUAUCUUACCAGAAAGGGACGGCUAACUACGUG
rnacentral:rRNA from 1 species